CUUGUCAGUCUAUGUCAUGGAAAGAGCAAGUGUUCCCAAUGUUUUCAACACUUAGGGUAUUGUGUUAUUUUCUUAUUGACGUCUGCCCCAGCCUAGGACUCAGUGAUCGACAUCUGUAUGAUGACCAUGAGGGUGUGUGCGGUGCUCUAUGCCCUCAUGUUACUGCUGUCACGGACUCUAUCCAAGACACACGUUGGGUAUCCACAGAGCUCCAUUGAGAUAAAUCCAGACAUCAAUGCCUCGUGGUACACAGGACGAGGGAUCCGACCAGUAGGACGUUUUGGGCGACGGACGAACGGGAGAAUCCAAAGGCUGGCCCUCGCCACACAUAGUCUGUGUUCCCAACAUGGAAAACAAAGACUGGCGAACGGAUUAAAUACAUCAUGAAACUGUUUUGCCUCUUUAUUUCUCCUUGUUGUUUGUAUA